CGGGCUGGUGCCGAAGGACGCCGGCCGGCUGCUGGACGUGGCCUGCGGCACCGGGAUCGUGACCCGGCGGCUCGC
rnacentral:tRNA from 1 species